CCUACGGGAGGCAGCAGUGAGGAAUAUUGGUCAAUGGACGAGAGUCUGAACCAGCCAAGUAGCGUGAAGGAUGACUGCCCUAUGGGUUGUAAACUUCUUUUAUAUGGGAAUAAAAUGUUCCACGUGUGGGAUUUUGUAUGUACCAUAUGAAUAAGGAUCGGCUAACUCCGUGCCAGCAGCCGCGGUAAUACGGAGGAUCCGAGCGUUAUCCGGAUUUAUUGGGUUUAAAGGGAGCGUAGGUGGAUUGUUAAGUCAGUUGUGAAAGUUUGCGGCUCAACCGUAAAAUUGCAGUUGAAACUGGCAGUCUUGAGUACAGGAGAGGUGGGCGGAAUUCGUGGUGUAGCGGUGAAAUGCUUAGAUAGCACGAAGAACUCCGAUUGCGAAGGCAGUUCACUGGACUGCAACUGACACUGAGGCUCGAAAGUGUGGGUAUCAAACAGGAUUAGAUACCCUUGUAGUC
rnacentral:rRNA from 1 species